AUGUCUUUUAAGUAUCUGACAUUUAUUUUUUAAAUGUAUUCUUUCCCUUUAUCAGAUGUUUUAGCUCAGGAGAAUUGUAAUGACCAGCCUGUUCCUGCCAACGAGCCUGAGGAAAAGAACCUAGCUAACGUCAUAUCAACUGAUCUCCACACCAAAACUCUGCAGCAUGAUAAUGACAGAAUAGCUGAAGAGACUGAUAAAGGUACAACCGAAUUAAUCCUGCCCAGACUGACCUAGAAAUUAAGUUAAACGAUGAACUUGCUGAUCCGGGUAUGGACUGUGUUUAAUUUACCAAUUUUAAACAUACUGCAGAGUUUUGGUUUAUCAAUUAGUUUCACUGUUGCAGACCAUGAAGAGCAAAGCAAUGUGUUCGGAGAACGGAGAGUUAGCUUGGAAGCAAAUGCCAACGAGCCUGAGGAAAAGAACCUAGCUAACGUCAUAUCAACUGAUCUCCACACCAAAACUCUGCAGCAUGAUAAUGACAGAAUAGCUGAAGAGACUGAUAAAGGUACAACCGAAUUAAUCCUGCCCAGACUGACCUAGAAAUUAAGUUAAACGAUGAACUUGCUGAUCCGGGUAUGGACUGUGUUUAAUUUACCAAUUUUAAACAUACUGAGUUCUAAGUCAAAUUGUUGGCUACGUGUAAUUCUAAUCAUUAGCUUUGUCCAUUAUUGUCAUGUUAUAUACUGAAAGGAAGACUUUGUCGUUCCAAAAUCACCAAAUGGUUUAUCAAUUAGUUUCACUGUUG
rnacentral:lncRNA from 1 species